UACGUAGGGUGCAAGCGUUAAUCGGAAUUACUGGGCGUAAAGCGUGCGCAGGCGGUUAUGUAAGACAGAUGUGAAAUGCCCGGGCUUAACCUGGGAACUGCAUUUGUGACUGCAUGGCUAGAGUUUGGCAGAGGGGGGUAGAAUUCCACGUGUAGCAGUGAAAUGCGUAGAUAUGUGGAGGAACACCGAUGGCGAAGGCAGCCCCCUGGGUCAAGACUGACGCUCAUGCACGAAAGCGUGGGGAGCAAACAGGAUUAGAACGGUACCGUCA
rnacentral:rRNA from 1 species